GGGUUGUGAGGUUAAGCGACUAAGCGUACACGGUGGAUGCCCUGGCAGUCAGAGGCGAUGAAGGACGUGCUAAUCUGCGAUAAGCGUCGGUAAGGUGAUAUGAACCGUUAUAACCGGCGAUUUCCGAAUGGGGAAACCCAGUGUGAUUCGUCACACUAUCAUUAACUGAAUCCAUAGGUUAAUGAGGCGAACCGGGGGAACUGAAACAUCUAAGUACCCCGAGGAAAAGAAAUCAACCGAGAUUCCCCCAGUAGCGGCGAGCGAACGGGGAGCAGCCCAGAGCCUGAAUCAGUGUGUGUGUUAGUGGAAGCGUCUGGAAAGGCGCGCGAUACAGGGUGACAGCCCCGUACACAAAAAUGCACAUGCUGUGAGCUCGAUGAGUAGGGCGGGACACGUGGUAUCCUGUCUGAAUAUGGGGGGACCAUCCUCCAAGGCUAAAUACUCCUGACUGACCGAUAGUGAACCAGUACCGUGAGGGAAAGGCGAAAAGAACCCCGGCGAGGGGAGUGAAAAAGAACCUGAAACCGUGUACGUACAAGCAGUGGGAGCACGCUUAGGCGUGUGACUGCGUACCUUUUGUAUAAUGGGUCAGCGACUUAUAUUCUGUAGCAAGGUUAACCGAAUAGGGGAGCCGAAGGGAAACCGAGUCUUAACUGGGCGUUAAGUUGCAGGGUAUAGACCCGAAACCCGGUGAUCUAGCCAUGGGCAGGUUGAAGGUUGGGUAACACUAACUGGAGGACCGAACCGACUAAUGUUGAAAAAUUAGCGGAUGACUUGUGGCUGGGGGUGAAAGGCCAAUCAAACCGGGAGAUAGCUGGUUCUCCCCGAAAGCUAUUUAGGUAGCGCCUCGUGAAUUCAUCUCCGGGGGUAGAGCACUGUUUCGGCAAGGGGGUCAUCCCGACUUACCAACCCGAUGCAAACUGCGAAUAC
rnacentral:rRNA from 1 species